AUUGAACGCUGGCGGCAGGCCUAACACAUGCAAGUCGAACGAGUGGCGGACGGGUGAGUAAUGUCUGGGAAACUGCCUGAUGGAGGGGGAUAACUACUGGAAACGGUAGCUAAUACCGCAUACCAUCGGAUGUGCCCAGAUUGGAUUAGCUAGUAGGUGGGGUAAAGGCUCACCUAGGCGACGAUCCCUAGCUGGUCUGAGAGGAUGACCGGCUCCACGAGCACUGAGACACGGUCCAUACUCCUACGGGAGGCACCAGUGGGGAAUAUUGCGCAAUGGGUGCAAGCCGCAUACAGCCAUGCCGCGUGUAUGAAGAAGGCCUUCGGGUUGUAAAGUACUUUCAGCGGUGAGGCGUUACCCGCAGAAGAAGCACCGGCUAACUCCGUGCCAGCAGCCGCGGUAAUAC
rnacentral:rRNA from 1 species